CUACACUAUGCUGCAGUGAUUAUGGUGUGGAAGUCUCUACUAGAGGGUCCUUAUAAAACCAGAAUUAUAACUAGGGUCCGAUCUUAAAGAAGCAAUACAAGGAUAACAGAGGUGAAAGGGUUUAAUGGGUAGAAUGUGAUAGGAGUUUUGGGUAAUUGCUUCCUGUUAAACGCCUAGUUUGGACCGUAACAUCUCAGUUAUGUCAUAAUUUAAGACGCUUGUUACCAAACUUUAUGGAGUUUUCCACAAAUUGUCUGUGGGAACAAGAAG